AGCCGAAACUGCCCAAACCGGGCAGUCCGCCGGGAAUGGCCUCCCGGCGCUGAUGAGGCAGGCCAAA
rnacentral:hammerhead_ribozyme from 1 species